GCUUGUUGGUAGAGUAACGGCCUACCAAGGCUACGAUCAGUAGGGGUUCUGAGAGGAUUAACCCCCACACUGGUACUGAGACACGGACCAGACUCCUACGGGAGGCAGCAGUGAGGAAUAUUGGUCAAUGGGCGGAAGCCUGAACCAGCCAUCCCGCGUGAAGGAAGACAGCCUUACGGGUUGUAAACUUCUUUUCUGUCAGAAGAAUAAGCUUGUCGAGACGAGUGAUGCCGGUAUGACAGGAAUAAGCAUCGGCUAACUCCGUGCCAGCAGCCGCGGUAAUACGGAGGAUGCAAGCGUUAUCCGGAUUUAUUGGGUUUAAAGGGUGCGCAGGUUGUUUGAUAAGUCAGUGGUGAAAGUCUGUCGCUUAACGGUAGGAUUGCCAUUGAUACUGUUGGACUUGAAUAUGGAUGAGGUAGGCGGAAUGUGUAGUGUAGCGGUGAAAUGCAUAGAUAUUACACAGAACACCGAUUGCGAAGGCAGCUUACUAAUCCAUCAUUGACGCUGAGGCACGAAAGCGUGGGGAUCAAACAGGAUUAGAUACCCUGGUAGUCCACGCCGUAAACGAUGAUCACUCGCUGUUUGCGAUAUACAGUAAGCGGCUAA
rnacentral:rRNA from 1 species